GAUGAAGAACGCAGCGAAAUGCGAUACAUGGUGUGAAUUGCAGAAUCCCGUGAACCAUCGAGUCUUUGAACGCAAGUUGCGCCCGAAGCCAUUAGGCCGAGGCACGCCUGCCUGGGCGUCACACGUCGUUGCCCCCCCAUCUACUCCUUCGGGAUUGCGGGGGGCGGAUGAUGGCCUCCCGUGCGCCUCGUCGCGCGGUUGGCAUAAAUGCCAAGUCCUCGGCGACGCACGCCACGACAAUCGGUGGUUGCGAAACCUCGGUUGCCCGUCGUGUGCGGUCGUCGCGCAUCGAGGGCUCGAAAAAAUUGCCGGGCUCCGGCUCGGCUUUCAACGCGACCCCAGGUCAGGCGGGGUUACCCGCUGAAUUUAAGCAUAUCAAUAAGCGGAGGA
rnacentral:misc_RNA from 1 species